rnacentral:rRNA from 1 species
AGUGAACGCUGGCGGUAGGCCUAACACAUGCAAGUCGAACGGCAGCACAGUAAGAGCUUGCUCUUACGGGUGGCGAGUGGCGGACGGGUGAGGAAUACAUCGGAAUCUACUUUUUCGUGGGGGAUAACGUAGGGAAACUUACGCUAAUACCGCAUACGACCUACGGGUGAAAGCAGGGGAUCUUCGGACCUUGCGCGAUUGAAUGAGCCGAUGUCGGAUUAGCUAGUUGGCGGGGUAAAGGCCCACCAAGGCGACGAUCCGUAGCUGGUCUGAGAGGAUGAUCAGCCACACUGGAACUGAGACACGGUCCAGACUCCUACGGGAGGCAGCAGUGGGGAAUAUUGGACAAUGGGCGCAAGCCUGAUCCAGCCAUACCGCGUGGGUGAAGAAGGCCUUCGGGUUGUAAAGCCCUUUUGUUGGGAGAGAAGAGCAGCAGGUUAAUACCCCGCUGUUCUGACGGUACCCAAAGAAUAAGCACCGGCUAACUUCGUG